rnacentral:lncRNA from 1 species
AAGCGAGAGGGUUAGAAGAGUGAGGGAGGGGUCGAUGCAAUUGAGAUAGUGCUCCACUGUUCAUCCAUUUCUCUCUCUACAAGAGAAACGGAAGCCAAGCUUGAACAAGAGAGGGAAAUCUGUUACUCAGUGGAAACCCCAAUCAAAAAGGAAACCGAAAAGUCAUAGGAAAAUUAAUGGGUAGAAAGUAGACUGACAAAAUGAA